AGAAAUCAAGUCUUAUGCAAACAGCAAAGAGCAAUAAUAACAAAACAGAUGUGACAGAAUUAUGAACUGAUGUCCAGACCAAGUGGGCUGAUUUCCCUGGCCUGGGAUCUUUCUUGCUGGCUCUUGGGACAGGUGAAAGGAGGACCCUGGGGACAACGAAACUAUACCUCGCAGUCUGUAACGUGGUGACCUUGCAGAUACCUUAGUUUCUUCAGUCAUCAAAGGAGAGGGGGUUCAAAACUGAAGGCAUAGUUCCUGCUUCCUACUUUACAUUUUAAAGGCUGCUCUUUCUCCAUCACUCCUCAUCUCAGGCAUUGCUUUAAGCAGUGGAUUAUCUGAGUCUCCCGAUGGCUGCCCUUCUCAGGAAAGGAUUCACAGCUGUAGAACAGUGAAGUGACUCACUGACAAACCCACAGCAACUGUGCUUGGAUCCCAAAGUAGCUUCAAGGUGUCCAUUCUUCCUUGGGUCUGGACCCAGUUUUGAUUUGAAGGAGAAUUGAAGGAAUCUUGAUCCGUUGUAUUAAGCACUUCUCUAUCUGGAGCCUAAUUUCAGUUCAUGGAAUCAGCUUGCUCCUUGUCUAUUGAUGGUCCUCUACAUGUCGAGUUCUUAUAUGUUGUAUCUCAUUUAUUCCUCAUAAUCAUUCCACACGUGAUGCUUCAGAUACCCAGAGAGGGUAAGUGAUUUGACCACACAGGGGCAAGGACUGAAAACCUGGAGCAUAACAAAAAC